AUUGAACGCUGGCGGCAGGCCUAACACAUGCAAGUCGAGCGUGAAAGUUCCUUCGGGAGCGAGUAGAGCGGCGGACGGGUGAGUAACGCGUAGGAAUCUGCCCAGUAGUGGGGGACAACUCGAGGAAACUCGAGCUAAUACCGCAUACGCCCUAAGGGGGAAAGCAGGGGAUCUUCGGACCUUGUGCUAUUGGAUGAGCCUGCGUCGGAUUAGCUAGUUGGUGGGGUAAUGGCCUACCAAGGCAACGAUCCGUAGCUGGUCUGAGAGGAUGAUCAGCCACACUGGGACUGAGACACGGCCCAGACUCCUACGGGAGGCAGCAGUGGGGAAUAUUGGACAAUGGGGGCAACCCUGAUCCAGCCAUGCCGCGUGUGUGAAGAAGGCCUUCGGGUUGUAAAGCACUUUCAGCAGGGAGGAAAAGCUAAUGGCUAAUAACCAUUAGCCCUGACGUUACCUGCAGAAGAAGCACCGGCAAACUCCGUGCCAGCAGCCGCGGUAAUACGGAGGGUGCGAGCGUUAAUCGGAAUUACUGGGCGUAAAGCGCGCGUAGGCGGUUUGAUUAGCUGGAUGUGAAAGCCCCGGGCUCAACCUGGGAAUUGCAUCCAGAACUGUCAGACUAGAGUACAGUAGAGGUGAGUGGAAUUUCCUGUGUAGCGGUGAAAUGCGUAGAUAUAGGAAGGAACAUCAGUGGCGAAGGCGGCUCACUGGACUGAUACU
rnacentral:rRNA from 1 species